rfam:Nematostella vectensis strain CH2 x CH6 NEMVEscaffold_8416_Cont54534, whole genome shotgun sequence.
CAAACGGCUCUUUUAAGAGCCACCUUCCAUUCCGAUCCGGUCAGUA